rnacentral:misc_RNA from 1 species
CUCACUAUAUCCCUGUCCACCCUUAGGAGCAAACAGCAUGUCACCUGUAGCUAGCUCGAAAGCUGUGCAAGCAAAUGACCACAUAUCAACAGAGAAGGAAUAUCCCGACAGCAGAAUCUUCAGGAGCUCUAUACUGCCUCGUUUGAAUCUCUUCUGCAAACUGUUUGUCAGCCCAACACGCAUUUCCAAAAUCAACAACCUUGCACCUCACAUCAACUCCAUCCAAGCAUUUCUCUGGUUUUUUCACAGCUCCAGCUCCUCCCAUUGAAGCUCUUCUUUCUG